AAGAAAAACUGAGGAUGUGAAGUGGUAAACUGACCUUAGAGUUAGUAAUAAUAGGCUUUGGAGAUUCUGAUUUUCAGGUGGCUCGUUUUCUCCUUCCAGCCAAAUUUCAUAGGCAUAUUGAAAUCAAUUGGUCAAACCUCAAAUCCCUCUGAUUUGGCUACAGGAGUAAUUCAACCCUUCAUGGCCGAACAUCAUCUUGUCACCUCAUCAAAACUAUAUCAAGCUGCCAAUUUUAUUUCUGGAAGGAAACAAAAACACUAACCAAAAAAGGAGUAAUUGCAGAAGUAAUUGGAUUUCCAGAAGGAAGGACUGUGGAAAACAUCUCUGCCCCAAGAAGGCAGGCAUAGAAGCCACAGAUACCAGAGAAAUGUUGGCAAGUGGCUGGAAAUUGACUCCUGAUUCUGUGACCUUGAGUUUAAUGAAGAAACUGAAAAACUCUCUAUAAAGUCCACAGGCUGAUGCUCUACCUGCUGAGCCAGACCAGCCAGGGCGAGGCAUACUAUGUUUGUGAUGACAUACAAUACA